rnacentral:rRNA from 1 species
GGUUCCUACGGGAGGCAGCAGUGAGGAAUAUUGGUCAAAGGUCGGGAGACUGAACCAGCCAAGCCGCGUGAGGGAUGAAGGUGCAGAGUAUCGUAAACCUCUUUUGUCAGGGAACAAAGGUGGGGACGUGUCCCCGGAUGAGUGUACCUGAAGAAAAAGCAUCGGCUAACUCCGUGCCAGCAGCCGCGGUAAUACGGAGGAUGCGAGCGUUAUCCGGAUUUAUUGGGUUUAAAGGGUGCGCAGGCGUCACGGCAAGCCGGCUGUCAAAUCGCGGGGC